rnacentral:rRNA from 1 species
AACGACGCUGGCGGCGUGCUUAAUACAUGCAAGUCGAACGUGAUACAAGUAAGCAAUAUUUGUUGAAAGUGGCGAACGGGUGAGUAAUACGUAAGCAAUCUACCUUUAAGAUUGGGAUAACCUUGCCAACGCGGGGCUAAUACCGGAUGUGAUCAUUUUAACGCAUGUUAUGAUGAUUAAAGGAGUGAUCCGCUUAAAGAUGAGCUUGCGUCCCAUUAGUUAGUUGGCGGGGUAACGGCCCACCAAGACCGCGAUGGGUAGCCGGCCUGAGAGGGUGGACGGCCACAUUGGGACUGAGACACGGACCAGACUCCUACGGGAGGCAGCAGUGAGGAAUAUUGGUCAAUGGGCGGAAGCCUGAACCAGCCAUGCCGCGUGCAGGAUGACGGCCCUACGGGUUGUAAACUGCUUUUCCCCGGGGCGAAUAACCCCCUCGCGAGGGGGGAUGCCGGUACCGGGGGAAUAAGGAUCGGCUAACUCCGUG